GGACAGCAAAGCAGCAUUGCAGCGUACAGACUACAAAUGAGGAACGACUUUGUGUGACCCAAGUAUGCAUCCUUAGGGAUUCACGCAGAUGCGGCCACUCAUCACUAAAAAGAAGCAGUGACAUGACGGAGUAAUACAACCCAAAAAGUAAUCUAGAAAGUCUGUUGGAAGAAACGAAAGAAAUGGAAGGCUUUCAAGAGCUGCCUGAGGAAAGAGCAAUACAGACUCCUGCAAGUGAAAGCAGGGAAUCUCUAACAGGAACUAGACACAUUUGUACA
rnacentral:lncRNA from 1 species